rnacentral:pre_miRNA from 1 species
GCCUGGACGUUGACUGGACGUUCAUCGGUGCUUGGACGCUGGCUGGACGUUGAUCGCUGCUUGGACGUUGGCUGA